UACGAAGGGGGCUAGCGUUGUUCGGAAUUACUGGGCGUAAAGGGCGCGUAGGCGGCUUGCCAAGUCAGGGGUGAAAUCCUCCAGCUCAACUGGAGAAGUGCCUUUGAUACUGGCGAGCUCGAGGGAGGUAGGGGUGUGUGGAACUUCUGGUGGAGCGGUGAAAUGCGUUGAUAUCAGAAGGAACGCCGGUGGCGAAAGCGACGCACUGGACCUCUUCUGACGCUGAGGCGCGAAAGCUAGGGGAGCAAACAGG
rnacentral:rRNA from 1 species